AGUGUAUUAUUCAGUUGUAGUUUACUCAGCAGUGAAAACAACAGAAGACGUCAGUGAUGGACAAAGAGUCGUCAAAUCAAACAGGACCAGAGAUUAUGAUCCAGCUGCAGCUCACUCAGUAGUGAGAAGAGCAGAGAGGAGAGAGUGUCUCCAUUAGAGCCAGAGGUUGUCUACUCUUCACUGAGGUAGACCUCCACACCUUCACACCAGUCCAACCACUGACGUCCAGCUGGCCUGUUACUGGUCUCCAGAGCCCCUCAGACAGUAGUACAUUCAUUUAUAUAGUUUAUAUAGUUCAUGUUGUUCACUAAAUUACACUCAUGCA